GACGAACGCUGGCGGCGUGCCUAAUACAUGCAAGUCGAGCGGACCACUUCGGUGGUCAGCGGCGGACGGGUGAGUAACACGUGGGCAACCUGCCUGUAAGACGGGGAUAACACCGGGAAACCGGUGCUAAUACCGGAUAAUCCUUUUCUUCACAUGAAGGAAAGCUGAAAGACGGUUUCGGCUGUCACUGACAGAUGGGCCAGCGGCGCAUUAGCUAGUUGGGGAGGUAACGGCUCACCAAGGCCACGAUGCGUAGCCGACCUGAGAGGGGGAUCGGCCACACUGUGACUGAGACACGGCCCAGACUCCUACGGGAGGCAGCAGUAGGGAAUCUUCCGCAAUGGACGAAAGUCUGACGGAGCAACGCCGCGUGAGCGAUGAAGGCCUUCGGGUCGUAAAGCUCUGUUGUCAGGGAAGAACAAGUACCGGAGUAACUGCCGGUACCUUGACGGUACCUGACCAGAAAGCCACGGCUAACUACGUGCCAGCAGCCGCCGUAAUAC
rnacentral:rRNA from 1 species